GAUGAAGAACGUAGCAAAAUGCGAUAAGUAAUGUGAAUUGCAGAAUUCAGUGAAUCAUCGAAUCUUUGAACGCACAUUGCGCCCGGUAGUAUUCUGCCGGGCAUGCCUGUUCGAGCGUCAUUUCAACCAUCAAGCCCCAGCGCUUGUGUUGGGGGCCUGCGGCUGCCGCAGCCCCCUAAAAGCAGUGGCGGGCUCGCUAUCACACCGAGUGCAGUAGUUCAUCUUCUCUCCGGUCUUGUGAGGCGGGUUCCGGCCGUGAAACACCCCACUACAUUCAAGGUUGACCUCGGAUCAGGUAGGAAUACCCGCUGAACUUAAGCAUAUCAAUAAGCGGAGGA
rnacentral:misc_RNA from 1 species